GUUCAUCUCUUGGAACCUUUGAUCCAGGAGAUCCUCUCGACUGCGAGUCUCGAGGAUCUUCUGGCAAAAUGGAGGUAGGGACCCUCUGGGGGUGGAAUCAUGAUCAGAUAGAGGGCUCUCCACCCUCUGCUUUCCCUUUCCGGGGAACACAGGGUGACUGGCCCAAGUGGGCCACCCGAUCGAUGCUCUUUCCAAUCGCACAGAUGUCUGCGGCUAUUGCUGCU
rnacentral:lncRNA from 1 species